rnacentral:rRNA from 1 species
UACGUAGGGUGCGCGCGUUAAUCGGAAUUACUGGGCGUAAAGCGUGCGCAGGCGGCUUUGCAAGACAGAUGUGAAAUCCCCGGGCUCAACCUGGGAACUGCAUUUGUGACUGCAAGGCUAGAGUACGGCAGAGGGGGAUGGAAUUCCGCGUGUAGCAGUGAAAUGCGUAGAUAUGCGGAGGAACACCAAUGGCGAAGGCAAUCCCCUGGGCCUGUACUGACGCUCAUGCACGAAAGCGUGGGGAGCAAACAGG